rnacentral:rRNA from 1 species
UGGGGAAUAUUGCACAAUGGGCGAAAGCCUGAUGCAGCAACGCCGCGUGAGUGAUGAAGGCCUUCGGGUUGUAAAGCUCUGUCUUUUGGGACGAUAAUGACGGUACCAAAGGAGGAAGCCACGGCUAACUACGUGCCAGCAGCCGCGGUAAUACGUAGGUGGCAAGCGUUGUCCGGAUUUACUGGGCGUAAAGGAUGCGUAGGCGGAUUUUUAAAGUGAGAUGUGAAAACCCUAAGCUUAACUUGGGGACUGCAUUUCAUACUGGAAAUCUAGAGUGCGGGAGAGGAGAAUGGAAUUCCUAGUGUAGCGGUGAAAUGCGUAGAGAUUAGGAAGAACACCAGUGGCGAAGGCGAUUCUCUGGACCGUAACUGACGCUGAGGCAUGAAAGCGUGGGUAGCAAAACAGGAUUAGAUACCCUGGUAGUCCACGCCGUAAACGAUGAGUACUAGGUGUAGGAGGUAUCGACCCCUUCUGUGCCGCAGUUAACACAAUAAGUACUCCGCCUGGGAAGUACGAUCGCAAGAUUAAAAACUUAAAUGAAUUGACGGGGGUCAUAGCUGUUUUCCU